GGGCUCGUGGCUCAGCUGGGAGAGCGCCGCGUUCGCAUCGCGGAGGUCGAGGGUUCGAUCCCCUUCGAGUCCACCA
rnacentral:tRNA from 1 species